GUGACCUGCGGAGGAUCAUUAACGAGUUUUGAAACGGGUUGUAGCUGGCCUUCCGAGGCAUGUGCACGCCCUGCUCAUCCACUCUACACCUGUGCACUUACUGUGGGUCUCAGGCGAGCGUCGUCGCUUCGCGGCGUCGGCGUUCAAAUGGGCUCACGUUUUACUACAAACUAUUGAAGUAUCAGAAUGUGUAUUGCGAUGUAACGCAUCUAUAUACAACUUUCAGCAACGGAUCUCUUGGCUCUCGCAUCGAUGAAGAACGCAGCGAAAUGCGAUAAGUAAUGUGAAUUGCAGAAUUCAGUGAAUCAUCGAAUCUUUGAACGCACCUUGCGCUCCUUGGUAUUCCGAGGAGCAUGCCUGUUUGAGUGUCAUGAAAUUCUCAACCUAACGAGUCUUUUGGGGCUCUGUAAGAAUGGAAUUGGAAGUUCUUGGCCGCCUGGUUUUAGCGGGUUCCGGCUCCUCUCAAAUGCAUUAGCUUGGUUCCUUGCGGAUCGGCUCACGGUGUGAUAAUUGUCUACGCCGCGACCGUGAAGCGUUUGGCGAGCUUCUAACCCGUCUCACUAGAGACAAUACACUUAUGACCUCUGACCUCAAAUCAGGUAGGACUACCCGCUGAACUUAAGCAUAUC
rnacentral:rRNA from 1 species